CACGUAGGCGGCCUGGUAAGUCAGAUGUGAAAGCCCGGGGCUUAACCCCGGAAGUGCAUUUGAUACUGUCAGGCUUGAGUAUGGGAGAGGGAAGUGGAAUUCCUGGUGUAGAGGUGAAAUUCGUAGAUAUCAGGAGGAAUACCGGUGGCGAAGGCGACUUCCUGGACCAAUACUGACGCUGAGGUGCGAAGGCGUGGGUAGCAAACA
rnacentral:rRNA from 1 species